CAGGCCUAACACAUGCAAGUCGAACGAAGGCUUCGGCCUUAGUGGCGCACGGGUGCGUAACGCGUGGGAAUCUGCCCUUAGGUUCGGGAUAACAGUUGGAAACGACUGCUAAUACCGGAUGAUGACGUAAGUCCAAAGAUUUAUCGCCUAGGGAUGAGCCCGCGUCGGAUUAGCUAGUUGGUGGGGUAAAGGCCUACCAAGGCGACGAUCCGUAGCUGGUCUGAGAGGAUGAUCAGCCACACUGGGACUGAGACACGGCCCAGACUCCUACGGGAGGCAGCAGUGGGGAAUAUUGGACAAUGGGCGAAAGCCUGAUCCAGCAAUGCCGCGUGAGUGAUGAAGGCCUUAGGGUUGUAAAGCUCUUUUACCCGGGAUGAUAAUGACAGUACCGGGAGAAUAAGCCCCGGCUAACUCCGUGCCAGCAGCCGCGGUAAU
rnacentral:rRNA from 1 species